GUGGGGAAUUUUGGACAAUGGGCGAAAGCCUGAUCCAGCCAUGCCGCGUGCAGGAUGAAGGCCUUCGGGUUGUAAACUGCUUUUGUACGGAACGAAAAGACUCCUUCUAAUAAAGGGGGUCCAUGACGGUACCGUAAGAAUAAGCACCGGCUAACUACGUGCCAGCAGCCGCGGUAAUACGUAGGGUGCAAGCGUUAAUCGGAAUUACUGGGCGUAAAGCGUGCGCAGGCGGUUAUAUAAGACAGAUGUGAAAUCCCCGGGCUCAACCUGGGAACUGCAUUUGUGACUGUAUAGCUAGAGUACGGUAGAGGGGGAUGGAAUUCCGCGUGGAGCAGUGAAAUGCGUAGAUAUGCGGAGGAACACCGAUGGCGAAGGCAAUCCCCUGGGCCUGCACUGACGCUCAUGCACGAAAGCGUGGGGAGCAAACAGGAUUAGAAACCCCUGUAGUCC
rnacentral:rRNA from 1 species